GGCAUGGUGGCGCAGUGGGUGGCGCUGUUGCCUCACAGCAAGAAGGCCUGGGUUCAAUUCCCAGCUGGGUUU
rnacentral:tRNA from 1 species